AGCAAUAGCAGCAGUCAUCAGUGAUCAGAAUAGACACAGAGGUUAUAAGUACCAAAAACCAGCAGGUGGAUAAUGGCAGAGGUUAUAAGUACCAAAAACUAGCAGGUGGAUAAUGACAGAGGUUAUAAAUAUCAUUAACUAACAGCUGGAUAGUGACAGAGGUUA